UUGGCCCUGAUCACAUUUCAUGGACAUAAUUGCAUUUUCAAAAGAAACUGAUGUCUUGUUUCGAAAGAAACAAGGCUAAGCAUAAAGAAAAUAGUAUUUGGCCAGAUUUUGCUCAGCAAAACACCAGACAGUCCCUUGGUUUGUAACUCUCAUCUGAAAAAGACACGCACAAAGCUUGAAACUGCAAACUAAUUAGGUACAAUAACUGAAAGAGAUAACUUGUGAAUGGAAGAAGCAUGAUAGCUACGGGACUAAUUAAAUAUGAUUGGUAAACAAACUGAAGAGACUAAAAAAGACAAGUUCAAUACUAAACCAGAAAGCUAACUAUGACAUUGGAAGAGAUGUUAGAUUGAGAGAGAGAAAAGGGGGAAAUAGCAGUUUUAAAAUUUACACAUGCAAAAAUUCAAAACUUGAUGAUACCCGUACUUUGUUCUAGGCACGUUGGCCAGCACCAAUUCACACAUGUUGCUUCAAGAGGGUUUAAGCUUGAAAUGACUAAAUGAGAUGUUAUAGUGAGCUUGAUAUGUAAUUAAUGAGGAAAUGAGCCAUUCCUAAGGAAAACAGAGGGACUACAGCCAAGACACAGUCAUUAUGAAGCAAAAAAAAGAGUGCAAAAGAAAUCAAGACAGCAACUUCUGUAUAUUCAGACUUAAUAAGGCAUCCAAUGCUCUUCUGCAGAUGGACCAUUUAUGUACACAUCAGGCAUCAUUACCCUGGCUGUUAUUUUGACAAUAAACUUUGUUAAUGGGAGCUUUUCAGAAAGAUAAUUUUCUGCAUCUAAUGCUCAAUCAAUUUAGUCAAAUAGAUCCUGAAUCUGGCUAAUAUUCAAAUUAGUCAUUUAUUGUGUGCUUCAACUGUUUAAAAAAAAGAACUGCUGAUGCAUCAGAUUUGACCAUAUUCUCCACUUUGCAGGCAGUUGAUUUUAUAAGCUUGAGUUUUUAAAAUCCAUCAAUUGCCUAAUGCAAUUAAGUCUAAAUCAUUUUAAACCAAUUUGCCCAUUAGCUAAAUUUUGCUCACAUUAGUUACUGCAGAGUCGAAAUAUCAUGUCCAGGAUUUUCACUUAGCACUAUUAUACCUGGUCCUGUGUCAAAUUAUAGAUGUUUAAAAAUGCAAUAAAAUUUCUCCUGUAAAUAGUAGCAUCUACUCAUACAUCAGAAAAGCGACAUCUUAAAUAUUAUACACUCAUGACAAAAAUAUGACUUGAUUGCUGCCAGCUAAGCUAAGCGGCUGACACAUAUAAAAAUUCAUUGCCAUGUUUAGGAACCUGCAAGGCAAAUUAUUGUUGAGUUCAUAUAACUGAAGGUACACACAUCUUCUUGGAAAGAAAAUAUAGUAUAUCCAGGUUCAAAGCAUUUCAAAGCUCAAGACUUCAUGUGCACAGAACUUGAGCUGAAUGAAGCCACGCAGUUGAGUAGGGGUGGUAAACAUUUUGUUCCUCACUUACAACAACCCUAUCAAAUUAGACACCACACUGCAGGAUGACAAAGACAAAAACAGACUUGCUACUUCCAGUAACACUUCUAUACCUCCAAGCAGAUCAAUGAGUCUGAUUGACAGGUUAAUUACAAACUAUACCUUGGAGUACUGAAACGUGGUUAACUCACCUACUAGAUUAGAGUUUGCCAGAGGUAACAAACUCAAUGCCAAUCUUCUAGCAGUAACUUACAUUUAUAUGGAAAUGUUAACAGAGGAAAAAUAUCCACAGCCUUUUACAGAAGUAAUUAGCACAAACUGGUUUUCAUGAAUUUGACAAGUUUACUCUAAAAUAACAUUACUAUGCAUAACAAGUAUUGCUAACUUGAGGCUCUAGCAGCAUUAUUAAGCACAAUAUUAAAAUGGAUCUAAUCUUUUGAAUGUCUUUCCACUGCCUGAGAGAACUUCCAUUAUGGAUUUAUUUCUUAAACUUCCUUCAAUUUUCAAAAUACAUUGAAUCACUUUUAAAACUAUUUUAAAUAAUAAAACUAUCAAGAUAGCUGAGGGGAAAAUUAGUUGAGGUGCACAAAAUUAUGAGAGACAUGUUUCAACAGAUCAAUAAUUAUGAAAAGUAGAUUUAGGAUAAUUGGUAGAAAAGAUAAUGAGAAGUUGAAUUCAUUUUUCUUUAACAAAUGGUGGGGUUUGAAUACUAUCUGGUUAAAAGUGUAGUGAAGCACAAGGAACCUAGAUGAACAUUGAAUAUGCCAUUAUGUACAAUGCUACAUUCCAUAAACAGGGGAGUUGGAUUUGUCUCAUGAACAUUAUUUCCUUAGUCACGCCACACACGAUGGACCUAAUGGCCUCCUUUACAGAAUCAUGAAUAUUAACACACCAAUAUAGCAAUCAGUGCAUACAUUACUGUUAUCUGUUGUUCUACACAUCUUGAUUUCAUUAAAACAUAGUACAGUAGGUGCUUCAGGCCAAGACUGUACCUACUAAAUGCCUCUUAAUGUUACUUUUAUAUCUGCUUCUCCCACCUUCCUGCCAGCAUGUCCCAGGCUUCCAGCACAAUGACAUUGGUCUUGCAAAACUGCAUUAAAACUUUCCCCCCUCCCACAUGUGACCUAUUCCCUCUAAUAGAUUACCCUGGGUAAAAGACUAUUUACCCUAUUUAUGCUUCAUAAUUUUAUGAGCUUCAUCAAAAUGCCUCUCCAGCCUCGAAUGCCCCUGAGAAAACAAUCCAAGUUUGUCCAGUCUUUUCAUGUAACUAAUACUCUUCAAUCCAAGCAGCAUCCCAGUGAAUUUCUUCUAUAUCCUCUCCAAAAAUUCUGCAUCUCUCUUGGGGUAUGGCAACCUGAAUGGUACAUGAUACUCCAAAUGUGGCCUAACCAAAGUUUUAAAGGUUUAUAAGUUUUAUCUUCCAAUACUUCAUGUUUUCACCCUUCAACUGUUUUGUUAACAGCAAUCUACUGUGACAUUCCACUGUUCAAAAUAUUAAAAGAGACCACAAUAGAGUACAAACAAAUGUACCAAUGUCAACACAAAGCAAACAGCAAGGUCAUUAUUGGUGAAAAUUUUAGUAUGAUCAUUUGCAACACUGCACAAUUUGCAGAGAAAAUAUAACUGGUGACAUAUUUAUCUUAACCUUUCAGUCUGCUUUUAUUAAUACUGGGCUCUGAGGAAAAGCCAAAUUUUAGACUUAUGGCUUUUGCUUUUUUCCCCAUUCAGGGCAAUAAGGCACCAUCUUCAAACUGAGGUAAAUGUUGUGUUGUCCAGCACUACAAUUAUACUAAAUAGGAGACACUCAGAACAAGUCUGGAAUCUCUGGAGACUAAUAAAGUAUUGUUGAUCAUUAAAGUCUGAAAAACACACCAUCUCAAUCAACAACCACAUUGCCUGAUCAUGAGACACAAGUAGCAGAAUUAGGCCAUUUGGCUCACGGAGCCUGCUCUGCCAUUUCAUCAUAGCUGAGUUAUUAUCCCUCUCAACCCCAUUCUCCUGCCUCCUUCCUAUAACCUUUGACAACCUUACUAAUCAAUCCCUCCAUCUAUUAUUUUAACCUAAUUAAGGGAUCAGUCCUGAUUUAAUGAAGAAUGCAAAAGGGCAUGCCAGAAGUGACAGUAGGCAUUAUCUAAAAAUAAGAUUCCUAAGUAGCAUUAUUGAAAAGGACACCUGUAUAUUAAAAUGUUUGCAACAGAGUUAAGCACAUAGCCACUGGAACUAAAUCUGCCAUAUCUAGUAGUGUAUGAUGGAAGCACUUGCAAAACUUUACACUGUCCACAGUGCACAAAUUAGCAGCAUGGUAAAACAGUCUUCAUUUUACAAAUGUGCAGCUUCCAUUAACUCUCAAAAAGCUUGAAAUUUUAUUGGGCAAAGUGCAUUGUUGGUUCAUGCAUCACAAACAUAUCCAUUCCCUUCACUACUCCGGUAUAUUGCUGUAUCCAAAAAAAAGCACUACUGUUACUAGUCUAGAUUGUAGCUCAGUUUCAUGUGCCAAAGAGCAAAUGAUUUGCCCAGUUGGAUUCUUCAUUUUCAGCUAUUAAGCAGGGUUAAGAAACACUUGCUUCCACUCUAAGUCAAAGAUAUAGGAAAUGUGGUCAACAAAGGUGUUUUAAAAGGAACAUCUUAAAAGGAAUGGUGUAAUGCCAGGAUGGAGAAAAAUGCAGAAAGAGGAUGUCCUUGACAAAAUGUUCGAUUUGAGGCAUUGCUUAACUUUAUACUUAGUGAACAUAGCGGUGAGGGGUGAAUAGAAUACAGGUUUCCUGCUGAAGAGUCUCGGCCUGAAACGUUGCCUCGUCUUUUCCAUAAAUGUUGCCUGGUCUGCUGAGUUCCUCCAACAUUGUGUGUGUGUUGCUUGGAUUUCCAACAUCUGCAGAUUUACUCUUUUUUUCAAAUGUUGAUUCUCAAACUCAGAGCGCGGUAGCGGGCAAGAGAUUAAUAGUACUGGUCUAUCAAGUGAUUAUUCGCUGAAGUCGAUGAAUCCCACAGCAUCGUGGACGCUGCAUCCCACAUAAAAUACCAGAUACACAUGUCAUCUCCACUUCGUUGGCUUCAAUACCGGUGCUGAACUGUUGCACGCUACGGUCAGGGAAAACAAGCCGGAUGCCAAAAGUUUUGCAGACCCGCACGAAGUUAAAACGGUGGAGCAUUCACCGGGUUCACGAACCAUUCGUACUCUGAUAAAACGUCACAACUCCAAGCUCUGAUGCAAAAUCUAUGAACAUUUCCUCUUACUAAUGAUUAAAAUGCAUUGCAACACCUUUUACAGCAAACCGAUCUCUUUAAAAGUACAAGGUGUCUGUCAGCGAUGGGCUCGCAGUGUGCGAGGAGCGGCAGGUGGGCCCAAAGAGCCUGAGGAUCCCAGGAUGGCCCAAGGCACUUUACACACUACUUUGAAGUCUAGUGCGGGAAAAAUGGCAGCCAAUUUUAGUGUAAUUCCCACAAGCAACUGGAUGAUAUUGACAAGAAGAUCAGUUUAAUACUGUGGAUUGGGAGAUAAACAUUGGCCAGGACACAGGAGACAACUGCUCAGCUCUUCAUCAAUGUGACAUCAUGGAAUCUUAUAUGACAGAACAAAAAUGGCCUUAAUGUAUUGCCUCAUCUGGCAAACAAUUUUGCACUUAACACUCCUUAGUGAAGCUUGAGCACACAACCUUCUGAGUGAGAGGCAGAGUAUUACCUGUUCAGCUACAACUGGGUAAAAAAGAGAAGGUAGAAGAAAUCAUUAAAGUAGCAUUCAUGUCUUGCUGAGGAGGUAUAGCUACAAGCCUGGAUAUAUAUCUACAUAAUUGCAAAAACACAUUGGACGGAGCUGUUUCAGUUGACAAGGCACAAAACACAGAUUAUGUCCUGUAUUUUGAACAAAAUGACAGAAAAUACAUCAGGCAAAACAGCAAAACUGUGCCGAUGAAGAUAUACUAUACUAUGAAUAUAACAAGAAACUUAAUCCAGAGGGAAAUCUACUUGAAGAAAAGGCCCAUUUGUUCUAUAGAAUAUGCAGACUUGCUAUUUGCACAGGGAGAUCAAUGUUUAACAGAUCAUUCGUUCAUACUGACCUUCACUUUCUAGAAUAAGAAGCAGGCAUUUGCAUUAUAUUUAACUAAACAUUCAGAUAAUCCAUUUAAUCUCUUUUGUUUCCUGUUCACCUAUGAUUUAAAAUCUGUUGGCUGUGCUAGUUAUUUCUAUUCAUUACCAAGGGCAUAAAGAGACUGUAACAUUAAAUUCAGUGUCCAUGAUGGCCACAAAACAAC